UAAUCGCUUGAAUAAGAACUGUCAACCUGGAAGAAGGGGCAGCUUCAUGGAAGUCAGCGACUGGCUUCUUCCACCUCUCCUGUUUAGUGUUGUGGAAGCAUUAGGGGCAGACUGAAGGCUCUGAGCUAUUCUGAGCUCAGAAAUUAGUUUUGUACUACAAGAGAAAUUUGGCAGAGAAGUCUGCAUCACCAUAGUGAUAGCACCAGUUAAACUUGUGUGUGUUUCAGAUGCAAAUCCUAGUAAGAUGGGAGUACCUUAUGUUUGCAAGUUGUCAAACUUCUAAGAGUCAAUGUUGAGAAGUUCACAAGUUGUUAUGAGUGCUGUUGAGAGUGAAGACAUUACACAAGUAUAGGAGAGUAUCAAUUGAGGGAUCUGAGCAUUUUUAUUCAUAAUAGCCAGAAACUGGAAACAACAUUGCUUGAAUAAAGAUUGGAUAAAGAAAAUAUGGUACAUUUACACAAU
ensembl:sense_intronic 4930596I21Rik RIKEN cDNA 4930596I21 gene